AUUUGUUUUUAGUGAU
rnacentral:sRNA from 1 species